rnacentral:lncRNA from 1 species
GCUCUCAGCUGGCCGGUGUGGCACAACCCUCCCCCCACCUCCCCUUCUUGGCCUUCGCCAGUGUGGGAGCCUCGUCUCACUGGAGAGUCCGUUCAGCUUGCAUUGCAUAAACGUUGUCGCCAUUAAAUUCUGGCUGCGGACCCGAAGUGUGUGCGGGCCCAGGACUUACUCGAAGGGCGCACUUCUUGGGAAUGCGCAUCCCGUAGGCGCAGGAGACCCUGAGGGUAAAGAUGCGGCACUUGAGCCCUCCGCUUGCCUCCCAGGCCACCUUUGCUGCUUGACUUUGCGUCGUCUCCACUCAGAAGCUUUUAAAAUUAUUAUUAAGAAAAGAAAGAUUCUACAAGACACUGCCCCCACGCUCUCUGCUCAGUCCUCUCCCACACGAUCUAUCCCUAAACCUUUCGCGGGGCUCGCGCGUUUGGUUUUUUGAGUGGAGAAAGGACUCUCGAGACAAAAUUCACUGCCAGUUGCCCUAAGAACCCCCCAGAUCCCUGUAUCUCCCUUCCUUCUCCCCGCCUAUUAUUUCUACUUGGAAGUCGUUUUUCUUAACUAGGACUCAACUGUGAGGGGCGAGGAGCCCUUUAUGAAAAGCCGGGGACUUUCAUUUCCAAACGAAAA